AUUGCACGCUGGCGGCAGGCUUAACACAUGCAAGUCGAGCGAGCGGCGGACGGGUGAGUAAUGUAUGGGGACUGCCCGGUAGAGGGGGCUAACUACUGGAAACGGUGGCUAAUACCGCAUAAUAUCGGAUCACCCAUAUGGGAUUCGCUAGUUGGGGGGGUAAAGGCUCACCAAGGCAACGAUCCAUAGCUGGUCUGCGAGGAUGACUAGCCACACUGGGACAGAGACACUGCCCCGACUCCUACGGAGGCAGCAGUGGGGAAUAUUCCACAAUGGGCGCGAGUCUGAUGCAGCCCGGCCGCGUGUAUGAAGAGGGCCUUAGGGUUGUAAAAUACUGUGAGCGGGGAGGCGGUACCCAAAGAAAAAGCCACGGCUAACGCCGUGCCAGCGGCCGCGGUAAUUG
rnacentral:rRNA from 1 species